GACUAUAAUAAUGACACAGCUCAAAAUACCCCGAGGGCAUAAGGGAAGCAGGUGGUGUCCUGAACAACUGCUGUCUGCUUGCACUUCACCCAACUUCUUGUUAAACCCAGAGGUUCUCAGACUCUUACGGGAGAAGGCUCUUGGUAGGACCUCUGCAUUUCCUCCCUCCCUUCUCUUCCUCCCCCCCCCUUCCCCUUGCUCUAUUUAAAACAAUUCUAUAAAACUAUCAAACAGGAUUUGUGAAAACACGGGUGCCCUUUAGAUGGAAUGCUAAUGAUAGAGCUGAUUUAUUUUUAAUGUGAUAGGUCUAUUAUUUUUGCCAAACCAUGGAAGAAUCCAAACACGCACGAAUCCAGACCGGCCGCCACUUAGAAGGCAUUGCCAACUUCUCGCCAUCCCUGGGCGGCACCUUGAGAAUUGCUGUGAUAAUUACCUAGUGCAGUGCUUCUUAACCCUGGUUGCAUAUUAAAAUCACCUGGGAAGAUUUUAAAGCCUUCUCACUCCAGACCAAUUAAAUCAGAAGCUCUAGGGACAGGACGUAGGCAUCUGCAAUUUGUCAGAGAUCCUCAGGUAAUUCUAACCUGCAGCCAGGGCUGAGAACCAGUGGCUUAAUGUCAUGUUGCGUUACUGUUGGAGUCGGGACACUGUGGUAACAAGAGGCAGAAGUGAGCGCCCAUCUCUGCCCCUCAUAGCCCUCUGCUUUUUGUCUGAUUGGAGUUAUAUAAAGCCUAAGUGGAACUAAGAUUAAGCCUGGUAAUUGUCAUGGCAAUGCCCUAGAUUUUUCUAUCAAAUCCAAUCUUAUUUGUGAUGGGAGACGCAGAAGUGACUCUAGUGAUGUUAAAAUAUUUCUGCUGCUAUUUAGAAUAUUCAGCAUUAAACUCGAUAGAGUUUUUCCAUAAAAUUUCAAACAUGAAAACUUUUAGAAACAGCAGAUCUCACCUGAAUAAAAAAAAAAAUUAUCAUUAAUUGUAAAGUGUGCUUGAUCACAGAGAAUUAUCUAGGCAAUCAGCGUCAUGUAUAGCCUUUAAUGCCUCCUGUCUGCUGAAUGUGAGUUCUGCAUGUUGAGCACAAAUUUGCAAAUUUCUCUAGCUUAUGCCUCAUCACUCCCUUCUUUGAUUAAAUAUAAAGUAAGUGGGAUUUGAAAAUCGUAAAGCUGGGAGGGACCUGUGGAAACCAUUUUGUCCAACCCCGUUGCUUUGCAAGUGUAUGCCAAACCCAGGAAGAGAGUCAGGCUACUACUUUGGUCUUCUGUUAAAUUCAUGAAUGCUCUGGUAUGGAUGACUGAGGCCUCUUUCUAACUGGCUCUCCCUUUCCUGCCCUCCUUUUUCUCCACAUUGCUGUCAGAGUGGUGGUUCUAAACACAAAUCCAAUCAAGUCACUCCUUUUCUUGCUUAACCUUCUUGAAUGACUUUGCAUUUGCCUCAGGUCCAAAUUCAAACUCCUUAGACUCCCAUACAUUCCCUUGUGAAUUGAUCUGACACCAUCUCCCCUCUGAAGAGUCAUCUCUGGGAGCCUCUGUUUCUCACUCCAAACUGCAGUCACACCAGAGUUCUAAAUGUCUGAAUGCAGUCUCCGAAUGUGUCCUAUAGGCCACUGUGGGUUGGCACGUGCUGUCCUUUCUCCCUGCAGUGCUCUCUCUACCCCUCUGUAAGGAGACCCUUCCUCUGUUCUUCCAUUUGUGUAGUUCAUAUCAGCUUUGUAAGGAGCAGGGAGCAGAGAAACCAGAAAUUGCAGCACAAGGUGUGGAAAGUGGGAGAGGACUUACUGAAAUGACAGAAGUUUGGAUGGAUGGAAUUUACUUCCUGAAAUAGAAGGCCUUCUUAACUGUUUUUAUAUAAAGAGCUUCAAAGUUCCAUAGGAGACCAAGGUCAAGUGGAUUGAGAAUGGAACUCUCUGAGGUGGUGGUGGUCGUGGUGGUAUUUCAGUAGCCCUAAGUAGACAGAGAAUGGUUUCUUUUCUUUCUUUCUUCCUAUCUAUCAAUUGUCUUCAUCUGGUUUUAGUUGGAUUUCAGGUGCAGGCAUUUAAAUUAACCAUACCCUUCAGUUUAUGGCAUAUUAUUAGCAUUGGUCUACACAAAGAUACUAUUUAAUUUAGUUUUUCUUUUUUCUUUUUUUAUUAACAUUAAAAAAAUUAAGUUAUUUUAUUUUUUUAAAAAAAUUUUAAAUGUUUUUAUUUAUUUUUGAGACAGAGAGAGACAGAGCAUGAGCAGGGGAGGGGCAGAGAGAGAGGGAGACACAGAAUCCGAAGCAGGCUCCAGACUCCGAGCUGUCAGCACGGAGCCCGACGUGGGGCUCGAACUCAUGGACCGUGAGAUUAUGACCUGAGCUGCAGCUGGAUGCUUAACCAACUGAGCCACCCAGGUGUCCCAAAAUUUAAGUUUUUAAAAAUUUUUACUUAAAGACAGAGAUAGCAAGUGGGGUAGGGGCAGAGAGAGAGAGAGAGAGAGAGAGAAUCCCAAGCAGGCUUCACUCUGUCAGUGUGGAGCCUGUCUUGGGGGCUUAAUCCCAUGAACUGUGAGACAAUAACCCGAGUCAAAAUCAAGAGCUGGACACUUAACCAACUGAGCCACCCAGACGUGUGCCUUACUAACAUUUUAAAAUACACGUUCCUUCCUCCUAUUCCCCUCCUACCACAUAGGAAACUGUUCCAAUGUAUUUUUUUAAUGUGCAUCUUUUAGUUUGUAUGUGUUCUUUGAUGGUCCAUAUAAAAAUGUAGUUUUAAUGGUACUGUGUUCUAUACUUCAUUCUAUAUCCUUUUUUCACUAUAUUUUUAAUAUUAUACAUGUUUCCAUGUGUAUUUCAAGUGUGUAGGCUUCUAAGUGCUUCCUCAGUCACAGGUAAUGAGCACCUAGCUAGUCUCCAAUGUUCUGUCCCUAUGAACAACUUCGAAUUGUAUAACUUCUUGUAUGUCCCGUUAUAGAUGUAUGUGAGACUGUCUUUGUGAUAGGUCCUCAGGAAGGGGUUCUAGUUAUGUUCACACUUAAUCUGACCAAAUGGUGCUUUCAAUUUGCCGGGUUGCACCAGUCUACAUGCCCACCAGCAGAGCAUGAUAUUGUCAUCUCUCCACCAACACCUGGCAUGACCCAGCUUUCCAAUAUCUGCCCAUAAAAUAGAAGGAAGAGAAUGUCUCGUUUUGGUUUUGUUAUUUUAAAGAGACUUUAUUUUUUAUUUAUUGUAUUUAAAAAAUAGUUAAUGUUAAUCUUUGAGGCAGAGAGAGACCGAGUAUGAGCAGGGGAGGGGCAGGGAGCAAGGGAGACACAGAAUCUGAAGCAGGUUCCAGGCUCGGAGCCGUCAGCACAGAGCCCGACUUGGGGCUCGAACCCACGAGCUAUGAACAGAAGUCAGACGCUCAAGUGACUGAGCCACCCAGGCACCCCUAGACUUUAUUUUUUAGAGACAUUUUAGGUUCAUAGUAAAAUUGAGGGAAAAGUAAAAAGAAUUCCCAUAUAUAACCCUGUCCCCCAUGAGCCUUCUCCACUAUCAACAUCCUGCACAAGAGUGGUUGGUACAUUUGUUACAAUUAAUGAAGCUACAGUGACACAUAAUAGCCACUCAAAGUUCAAGUGUACAUUAGGGUUCACUGUUGGUGUUGUAGAUUCUGUGGAUUUUGACAAACAUAUAACGACAUAUAUCCACCAUUAUAGCAUCAUACAGAAUACUUUUACUGCCCUAAGAAUCUUCUUGCUCUCUGAUUCAUCCUUCCUCCCUCCCUAACCUCUGGCAACCACUGAUUUCUUUUUAUUUUUUAAUUUUUUUCCUGUCUCUUGCUUUGCCCAGAAUGUCAUAUACUUAGAGUCAUACAGUAAGUACCCUUUUCAGAUUGACCUUUUCCGUUUUGUAAUAUGUGUUUAAGAUACCUCUGUCAUCUCGUGGCUUAACGGCUGACUUCUUUUUAGCAAUGAGUAAUAUUCCAUUGUCUUGAGGUACCACAGUUUAUCCGUUUGCCUACUGAAGGGCAUCUUGGUUGUGGCCGUUGAAAAUAAAGCUACUAUAAAUAUCUGGGUGCAGGUUUUUCGUACAUUUUCAACUCAUUUGAAUAAAUACCAAGAAGGGCCAUUGUUGGAUUACAUGGUAAGAGCAUGUUUAGUUUUGUAAGAAACCGCUGAACUGUCUUCCCCAGAAGUUCUUCCAGUUUGCAUUCCAGCAGUAUUGAAUGAGAGUUCCCAUUGUUCCACAUCCUCAUGAGAGUGUUUGGGAUUUCAGCGUUGAGGAUUUUGGCUAUUCCAAUAAGUGUUCGUGGUAUCUGAUUGUUGUUUCAGUUUGCAUUUCUCUAAUGACACAUGAUGUGGAGCCUCCUUUCGAAUGCUCAUCUGCUGACCGUGUAUCAUCUUAGCUCACAAAAUUCCUGAAGAUUUAACAGUCAGCUCUUACGAGCUGCCAUGAGCCAGCUGCAGCACACCAGCCUUGUGGGAAUAGAGAAAAUUGGACCUAUUAUUUACAAAACUAGAGCCUUAUAUCAUGAUUAGCAAACACCCCUGGUCUGGGGAUCAGUGAAUCUUCGUGGGGAUCUGCAGAAGGUGCAGCUGUUGGAAACUCCCCGGCUGCUUCACAGUCGUGAGGUGAGCUAGCAGGUUUUGUGACUGUAAAACUGAUGCCUGUGAAAUGGAUCAAAGUUAACUUUGACAAAGGUCAGGAAACAGAUGAAAAAUAAAGGAAAGAAGAAAAAGAAGGAAACCUGCAGUGGAUGUUUGGGGUAUAGAAAGGAACAGUCCCAAGGAGUGUAAAAGGAGUAUAAAAAUGUCAUUUGUGUAUUAUUGUUGGAAACUUGUCACCGCAUCUAUGAAGCUGAGGAGUGUAACUGGCAUUGGAACAGGUAGGAGUGAAUAAAGGGGACACUGAUGAGCCACUGUUCACGUUUUGACUGUCUGUUCUGGAACAACUAACCCUUGGGGUGCCUGGGUGGCUGAAUCAGUUAAGUGUCCGACUCUUGAUUUCAGCUCAGGUCAUGAUCUCAGGGUUCUACUCUAAUCUCAGGUCAUGAUCUCAGGUUCUCCACCCUCUCAAAACAAACAAACAAACAAACAAACCGACCUAAACACACACACACACACACACACACACACACACACACACAACUAAUUCUUCUUCUGUAAGGAUGAGACAAAAAUUUCCAGAUACAUUAAGGAAUUCAGUAGUUCAAAUGGGGAGGAUCAGACAUGAGCAUUCAGAUACAAUAAUCUCUAGUAAAACAGACCUCCUGUAGAAUAAAGGGAAGAACUUUGGGGUUGGGGGAGGUCAUUUUCUUAAUUAGAUUCACAAGGAUCCUUUUUUGAGCUUCUUAAGUGCGAACUUCCACAAAAACAUGUUGAGACACAAAAAACAAAUCUUGGCAAUAAAAAGAAGAGUGGGUACAGGACACUCUUCCAGAAUAUGCAGAGCAUAACCUUUAAGAUUGGGGAAUUCAAGAAAGAAAAUUCAAGAGGCAGGAAAUGUUGAAGUGUAAGAAGUAGUACCAUGAUUUUGUGGGUUCCGGAAGGAGAAAAUAGUGGCUGAAUGAGAAGUAAUAAUCAAGUAAACAAAAGAAGGCAGCUUCUCUGAAUUGAAACAGUCAGCCUUUUAUAUGAAGCAGGGUUAGCGUAGACUUAGGGGGUAUGAAAGGAGUCAGGUGGAAGCAGUCAGCUGGGAGAAAAAAGUCACCAAAGCAGGGGUGGGGGUGGAGUUUGAAUGACAUUAGACUUCUUAUUUGCAACAUCAACGUUAGAAAACCUUAGAGAAAAUGUAUAGAUUUCUGGGAAAAAAGUGUUAGGUUUCAAGAAUUAUAUUCCAAGCCAAGCUCUUGUCUAAAUGCAAAGGCAAAUGAAAGCCUGGCUCAGAUUUAAAAGAAUUCAGAAAUUAGAUGACCUGUGUAUGCUUUUGGAAAAACAGAACUUAAAGUAGACCUUCAAGCAAAAAUUAAUCAAAAUAAAGAAUUUAAUAAAGACACAGACAUGUUUUAGGAAAAAAAGAGCAGUGAGCAAGAAAAACGUAGAUGAAAAUCUAGAGGAUCGCUUGUAAUGUGGUUGUGAAAUUAUGUACAGUUUAUAACAAAGAAUUUUAAACAGAAAAAUGUAUAUAAUUUUAAAAACCUCCUAAAGAUGGGGGAGGGGGAGAAAGAGAGAGAGGUGGAGAAGGAGAGAGUAAAGUGUGAUGAAGUUUUUAUUGUCGAACCAGGAGGGUCUGUAUCGGUAACUUCAUUCUUGACAUUAAUGGAGAAUAAAUUAAAACACAUUUAAAAACAUUAAACAAAACCAAUUUAAACUGAGGCCAUUGGAAAAGAAAGAAAAAAAGGGAAGCAUUAUUAUUUCAAAGGAUGGCAAAGUGUGUAUGUGUGUGUGACAGAGAGAGAGAGAGGGAGAGAGAGAGAGAGAGAGAGAGAGAGAGAGAAUGAGAGCAUGAGACCGAGAUUUAGAGAAAUACCAAUUAGGUUUCUCUAUUACAACUUCAAGGCCAUGAUGGAAGAACGGAUUUACCUUUCUGUAAAACUGAACAAAACAUGUGAGGUGACUACUUUUAGGCACUGGAAAAUAGUGCAGGACUCCAGUCUCAGCAAGACAGGAAAUAAAUGAGGUGAGCACCACAUCCAACCUGAUUUUAUGUCUGGGGGCGCUUUGCUGAACUGGCACUAAGUGAAGAGCCCAGGUGAAGAACAUCAAGUUGUACUGAGCCGAGGAGACAGAAAUGGCAGUAGAGGGCAUGAAGAGGCAGUUGGGAUUCACAGGAUAGAAUUCCAGAGACAAAUGAGCUCUGCAGAAGGGAAAUGUCAGAAGUCUGUGUGGAGAUUCUUCUUACCUCUGGCUAAGAGCUGCUCUGGGCUUUGCCUGUAUGGGGUAAGAUUCUGUAAGACCUCUUGAUUCUGCAAGACCACAGCUACUGUGGCACUAAGAAAUGAAUGGAAAUGCCAAAAGUCACGUAGUGCUAAAAUAUAUUGGAGUUUUGACCCAACGAUGGCGGAAAGACUUCAUUGAGCACACGGGGCAUUCGACUGAGACCCCAGGAA